CAGUCAAACAACAACUUACUGUUGAAGUACCAAAUGCAGUUAGGAAGGAUGUGAAUGGGUGUCUAAACAUGACAGGAGGAAGUUAAAGAAAUGUGAGCCGCUUUUUUACUGGCAUUUUAGUAGUGGUGAAAGGGCCACAGCAAUCCACAGCAACAGGAGAGAAACCUAAGAUACUUGAACAUAGUUUAAAAAAACAUGCCUUGGGGAAAUGUAAUUUGCAGUUUCAAAGCUGGGAUCCACAUUAAAGGCCUACAGACACAGCUACUGCUGCUGUUCACCAUCAGCUCAACAUAUGGACAUUCUUCACUUGAGUCUACAACUUGAUGAUCCGUUUUUUCAAGCAUAAUUUUCACAGAGGAAUGCCCAACAAUGAAGAGACAGCAACAUUCAAGCCUAAUGUCUGGAGAAAUAUUAUUCAUUAAUGCCUUGGUACUUGAGAUAAAAGAUACAGUUAAUCUAC